AGCGGCGCAAGGGUGCGUAACACGUGGGUAAUCUGCCAUGAAGUUUGGGAUAACUUGCUGAAAGGCGAGCUAAUACCGGAUGUGACGAUGGCAUCCAAAGCUGCGCUUCAUGAUGAGCCCGCGGCCUAUCAGGUAGUUGGCGGGGUAACGGCCCACCAAGCCUGAGACGGGUAGCUGGUCUGAGAGGACGACCAGCCACACUGGAACUGAGACACGGUCCAGACACCUACGGGUGGCAGCAGUCGAGAAUUUUUCACAAUGGGCGCAAGCCUGAUGGAGCGACGCCGCGUGGGGGAUGAAUGGCUUCGGCCCGUAAACCCCUGUCAUUUGCGACAACUGAUAGUAGCGAAAGAGGAAGGGACGGCUAACUCUGUGCCAGCAGCCGCGGUAAUACAGAGGUCCCAAGCGUUGUUCGGAUUCACUGGGCGUAAAGGGUGCGUAGGUGGCGAGGUAAGUCGGAUGUGAAAUCUCGGAGCUCAACUCCGAAGCGGCAUUGGAAAC
rnacentral:rRNA from 1 species